AUUAAGGUAGUUAAAUGAAUAACUGGACUUUGAAGUGGUCUUAUUGAAGUGUUUGAUUCCUUCUCUUGAUG
rnacentral:tRNA from 1 species